UACGUAUGGUGCAAGCGUUAUCCGGAUUUACUGGGCGUAAAGGGAGCGCAGGCGGCGCGCCAAGUCUGAUGUGAAACCCCGGGGCUCAACCCCGGGCAUGCAUUGGAAACUGGCGGGCUGGAGUGCCGGAGAGGUAAGCGGAAUUCCUAGUGUAGCGGUGAAAUGCGUAGAUAUUAGGAGGAACACCAGUGGCGAAGGCGGCUUACUGGACGGCACCUGACGCUGAGGCUCGAAAGCGUGGGGAGCAAACAGG
rnacentral:rRNA from 1 species